UCCACUAGUGGGCUGAGACCAGUACUAGAGGACAGAAUGUUAAAAUGAUUGUGGAGUCAGGAGGCUGCUUAUCACACAGGUGGGGAGAGACCUGGAGAUCACACCCUUAAACAAUCUGCUGAAGCUGCAUGAUAUGGGCCAGUUGAAAAUAUAAUCCCCAAAAUGCAGCACAGUUGUGUGGGAUUGGUUGAGUUUGUCAGUUUAUGAGCAUUAACCACAGCACUGAGGACCAGGGUUCAAUCCCAGUCUCGGAUAAUGCAUGAAGAAGACACAAUGGCAGGCGUUGGAAUCUGGAGCCACACACUAUGACUAUGUGAGAUUUCUCAGGGUGUUCAAGCUACCUCCCACGCCUCAGGUUCUGAGGUAAAUUACUCCUGGUGUACAGACCCAUGAUUAAUAUAUUCGUCGGCCCGGACGAAUCAGCAAGGCUCUCACAGCUAACAGUUUAAAAAGUUUGUCUGUUUGGCAAGGUAAGUGGCUACAGAUUGGCAGGUAUGAUAUUGUGGCCAUCACUGAGACCUGGCUAAAGGAUGCAUGUCUCUGGGAGCUGAACGUCCAAGGAUACACGGUGUAUUGGAAGGAUAGGAAGGAAACACAGGGAGGAGAGAGGCGCGUAUAGGAGGCCAUCACAUGGGAAACGCCAAUGUCUUGAAAAGAAGAGCCAACAAAAAGUACUGGGUACAGCUCAGUCCAACAGGUAAAGCCUUCCCUAUCAUUGAGCACAUCUACACGGAGCGCUGUCACAGGAAAGCAACAUCCACCAUCAGGAACCCCCACCGUCCAGGCCACGCUCUCUUCUCACUGCUGCCAUCGGGAAGCAGGCGCAGGAGCCUCAGGACACACACCACCAUGUUCAGGAACAGUUAUUACCCCUCAACCAUCAGGCUAUUGAACCAGAGGGGACAACAUCUCUCAACUACACUCCCCGCAUCACUGAUCUGUUCUCACAACCUAUGGACUUACCUCAGGAACGCUUCAUCUCAUGUUCUCGAUAUUUAUUACUUACUGAUCGAUUGAUUUGUUUAUUUAUUUAUUAUUAUCCCUUUGUAUUUGCACAGUUUACUACCGUUUGCACGCUGGUUGUUUGUCCACCCUGUCGGGUACGAUCUCCCACUGCGUCGAUUGUGCUUCUUGUAUUCACUGUCAAUGCCCGCAAGAAAAUGAAUCCCAGGACUGCAUAUACGGUGGCAUAUUUGUGCUUGGAAAAUAAGAUUACUUUGAACUUUGGACCCUGAAUAUGCUUUAACAGACAGGCUGGAAUCAGGAUUAUCAAAGAGCUACAUAACCUAUUUGUGCAGUUGACUGUAAUAAUGCACUGGCUCAGGCUCAGGCCUCCAGCCACAUUAUGUCAGCUUGCUUAAGCUACGUUGUGUUGUGACAACUGUCCGUCUAUAAUUCACCUUGCUCGUGUCUAAAGUGCAAAGGCUGUUGAAUUGCAAAGUGCCAUUAAGGUUAUGCUGUUUGAAUAUAGCUCCUAUUAAGAAACA